AGUGAAUCGGGGAAAGAGUGAUGGAAUCCUUUAGUGUUUCUUUACUGAUCCUGUGGCUUCAGUUCAUCUGGGUGAGCAGCCAGCAGAAGGAGGUGGAGCAGAGUCCUGAGACCCUCAGUGUUCCCGAGGGAGCCAUCGCCUGUCUCAACUGCACUUACAGGGACAGUACUUCUCAGAAUUUCAGGUGGUACCGACAGUAUCCCAGGAAAAGCCCUGAGUUUCUGGUUUCCGCCUAUUCCAGUGGUGAACAAGAAAAAGGAAGAUUCACAGCGCAGCUCAACAGAGCCAGCCGGCAUGUUUCCCUGAAUAUCAGAGACUCCCACCACAGUGACUCUGCCGUCUACCUCUGUGCCGUAAGCACACAGUGCUCCCCAGGCACCUGCAGCCUGCACCCAAACCACAGGGGCCCAGUCAGGCCUGAGGCAGAGCAGACACCACAGGGUAGGGGUUUUCUGUACCUGCUCCAGAUGCAGUGGGAAUUAAGAUCAAUAGUAGGGGAACUUCAUGGACUAGUGAGAUAUUUUAUAAUUCUGUAA